UACGGGGGGGGCAAGCGUUGUUCGGAAUUACUGGGCGUAAAGGGCGCGUAGGCGGCCUGCUAAGUCGGAUGUGAAAUCCCUCGGCUCAACCGAGGAACUGCAUCCGAUACUGGCGGGCUUGAAUCCGGGAGAGGGAUGUGGAAUUCCAGGUGUAGCGGUGAAAUGCGUAGAUAUCUGGAGGAACACCGGUGGCGAAGGCGGCAUCCUGGACCGGUAUUGACGCUGAGGCGCGAAAGCUAGGGGGAGCAAACGGGG
rnacentral:rRNA from 1 species